rnacentral:rRNA from 1 species
AUUCCAGCUCCAAUAGCGUAUCUUAAUGUUGUUGCAGUUAAAAAGCUCGUAGUCGAAUUUCUGUCCGGGAUGGUAAAGCCGACGAGCCUAACCAACCUAGGGCAUCCGCUUGUGAGCAGAAUACGAAGUUCAAUCGUCGGUUCUAGGAGCAAGCACUUUACUUUGAAGAAAUCAGAGUGUUUCAGGCAGGCUUUCGCUUGAAUACACAGCAUGGAAUAAUGGAAUAGGACUGAGUCUCUUUAUUGGUUCAAAAGAUUCAGUAAUGAUUAAUAGGGACAGUUGGGGGCAUUCAUACUAAUGAGUCAGAGGUGAAAUUCUUCGAUUUCAUUAAGAUGAACUAAUGCGAAGGCAUUUGCCAAGGAUGUUUUCAUUA